rnacentral:rRNA from 1 species
UACGGGGGGAGCAAGCGUUGUUCGGAUUCAUUGGGCGUAAAGGGCGCGUAGGUGGCUUGGUUAGUCCGACGUGAAAUGUACCGGUUCAACCGGGGCACUGUGGCGGAAACUGCCGAGCUUGAGGCCGAGGGAGGAAGGUGGAAUUCCUGGUGUAGCGGUGAAAUGCGUAGAUAUCAGGAGGAACACCCGUGGCGAAGGCGACCUUCUAGCUCGGAUCUGACACUGAGGCGCGAAAGCCAGGGGAGCAAACGGG